AUUGAACGCUGGCGGCAUGCCUUACACAUGCAAGUCGAGCGGAGAUGAGGUGCUUGCACCUUAUCUUAGCGGCGGACGGGUGAGUAAUGCUUAGGAAUCUGCCUAUUAGUGGGGGACAACAUUCCGAAAAGAAUGCUAAUACCGCAUACGUCCUACGGGAGAAAGCAGGGGAUCUUCGGACCUUGCGCUAAUAGAUGAGCCUAAGUCGGAUUAGCUAGUUGGUGGGGUAAAGGCCUACCAAGGCGACGAUCUGUAGCGGGUCUGAGAGGAUGAUCCGCCACACUGGGACUGAGACACGGCCCAGACUCCUACGGGAGGCAGCAGUGGGGAAUAUUGGACAAUGGGGGGAACCCUGAUCCAGCCAUGCCGCGUGUGUGAAGAAGGCCUUAUGGUUGUAAAGCACUUUAAGCGAGGAGGAGGCUACUGAGACUAAUACUCUUGGAUAGUGGACGUUACUCGCAGAAUAAGCACCGGCUAACUCUGUGCCAGCCGCCGCCGUAAAAC
rnacentral:rRNA from 1 species